UAAAAUUUAUAAAAUUAGGUAGUAAAGAAAUUUCUGAAACCUAAAGAAUUUGGCGGUAUUUUAAAUAAUUGGAGGAACCUGUUAUUUAAUUGACAAUCCACAACAUAUCUUACCUAAAUUUUAUUUGUAUAUCGUCGUUUUGAUAAUAUUUAAAAAUAAUAAUCAAUUUUAAUUAAUUUUAGAAUUCAGAUCAAGGUGCAGUAUAUUUAGGUUAUAAUGGGUUACAAUAUAUUUAUAUAUAACGAAUAUAAAAUUGAAAUUAUAUUAAAGGUGGAUUCAAAAGUAAAAUUAAAUUAAAAAGUUAAUUUGAUUAAUAAUUUAAAAUAUGC
rnacentral:rRNA from 1 species